rnacentral:lncRNA from 1 species
UGUCCCAGAAUUGAUUCCGUACAUAUCUAAAAGCAUUUAUUUAUAUUACCGCUAUCAAAAAGAAGAAUAUGCAGUUAAUUUUUCACCGGACAAGAAAGCAGAAACACGAGCUUCAGUUGAAACAAGUCCUGAUUUUGGCCAAUUGAACAUUUCCAAAGCACAUAGCUGUCAAGGCUUUUUUUGGCGGAAAGGAGAUGAGGCGGGUAAAAAGGAGAUGAAUGGAAGAAAA